rnacentral:misc_RNA from 1 species
UUGAAUUAUGGGUUGUGCUGGUUCUUACAAGUGCACGCCCUAUCAAUUUCUUACACCUGUGCACCUUUGUGGGUUGGGGAAACCCGAUCCAUUUUUAUAUACCCCUUUUUAUUGUCAUUGAAUGUCUCGUCUUGCAAAAGACACAAAAAUUAUA